AAGAGCCUACGUUAAAAAUUAAACUUUAUUAAAACGAUUCAGCGGAGGCGCAAAAAUGACCAUGUGUCCUAGUCAGGAGUUGACUAAAAAGUGUCUCUCCAACAGCCCUUCGUCCUCGUCGAGACCGCGAAGAUCAUAUAUCCCGUUAUCGGUUUUUAAACAAACAGUUCGGGGCCCGAACGCCUAGGCAUCCGGUCUCCAUGAUCUCGCGCCUUCCUAAUUACGAGUCUACGUUCCAUUCCUCUUACAUUCGGCCUCCCUGUAUUUAUGUUUGUCCUCAAGCACGAACCCCGAAUUGCCUAGCUCUUCUUGUUUUGCUGUAACAAAUCGAUCGAAAAGUACAUCUGAGUAACAAGUCCAAUGAUUUACUUGACUCAACCAACAUUGAACAACUUCCUGAUAACAGUACAGCGCAUGUCUCGAACGUUGAUUGCUGAGAUUACCAGGUUCGACGUCAUCCAACAUCAGAGACGUGACAUUGUUCGACGUCUUCAAGCUCCGGUGUACGUCUUUGUUGAUUUUAGUUUUCUUCGUUAUAUAGUAGCCAACAACUAACUGAUGGGAAUUCGGUAGCAUCAUGUAACAGCGGUUCAUCACUGUUACCAUGAUAUAGAGUUUGUUAUUGUCCAAUAGAUCGCACAGUAUUGGUCUGAUAUCUUCAACGUCUAAUAGAUCAAAUAUUAGUCUGACAAUUAAAUGAUCAUGGUAGUGGUCAACAACCGUCGUUUUCGCAUUUGUUAAAGAAUAAUGGCCCACAACCAAUUAUUCUCUUCAUAGUCCAAUAGAUCACAUACUAUGGACACAGUAUCUUCAGCGUCCAAUAGAUUGCACACUAUUGAUCCGAUAUCUUCGUCGUCUGAUAGAUCGCAUACUAUCAGUCCGUCGACUAAAUAAUCGUGAUAGUGUUCAAAUACCAACUAUCGUUUUCGUAUUCGCUAAAGAAUAAUGGCCAACCACCAACUAUUCCUUUCAUCGUCCAAUAGAUCGCACACUAUGGACCCAAUAUUUUUUAAUAGUCUAAUAGAUCAAACACUAUUAGCCUAACGUUACUUUUCAUUCGACCGUGCUCUCUUUACCUUUCGUUAUUAAGAAACGAUUGCUCGAUUAUAGCGUUCAUACUGGCUAUUAGCACGUGGGGUUGCCACCACAUUCAAAACAUGCCGAAUAGCGUAUGUGUUACAGAACAAUUCAAACGUUCUCGACGUAAAUGCAGUGCCUCGAUCGUUAAUUAUGUAUACUGGUACCCCAAAAAGAUGCGCUAAAUUCAACAAUAUUUUCACCACACGUUUCGACUUACUAUUCCUCACUGGUUCAAUCACAGUGAAUUUCAUAAACGCAUCAGCCAACACCAGUAAAUACUUACUCUUUCGAAUGCUAAGCCCAAAGGGUCCCACGUGGUCAACAUGCACUGUGUGAAAAGGUAUCGGUGUCUUUCCUAUUGGGUGCAACAUCCCUUUGUUUAUGACCUGGCACUCGUCAU